UACGUAGGGUCCAAGCGUUAUCUGGAAUCACUGGGCGUAAAGCGUGCGUAGGCGGCUCGUUAAGUGAGAUGCGAAAUCUUGUGGCUCAACCAUAUAGACUGUAUCUCAUACUGGCGAGCUCGAGGAGUGCAGAGGCAAGUGGAAUUACUGGUGUAGCAGUGAAAUGCGUAGAUAUCAGUAGGAACACCAAUGGCGAAGGCAGCUUGCUGGGCACCACCUGACGCUAAGGCACGAAAGCGUGGGGAGCGAACAGG
rnacentral:rRNA from 1 species